GACGUAGGGAGCAAGCGUUGUCCGGAAUUACUGGGCGUAAAGAGCUCGUAGGCGGGACCGUAAGUCCGAGAGGAAAUCUCAAGGCUCAACUUUGGGGCUUUCUUGGAUACUGCGGUUCUUGAGGAUGAGAGAGGUAAGUAGAAUUCCCGGUGUAGCGGUGAAAUGCGUAGAUAUCGGGAGGAAUACCAGUGGCGAAGGCGGCUUACUGGCUCAUUCCUGACGCUGAGGAGCGAAAGCGUGGGGAGCAAACGAG
rnacentral:rRNA from 1 species